GUAAGCUUAGCUUAGUUGGUAGGGAUAUUGCAUUUUAUAUGCAAGGGCCGAGGUUCGAACCCCGUAUAUUCCA
rnacentral:tRNA from 1 species